rnacentral:rRNA from 1 species
AGGCAAGACUGCGAAGUAGAGCAAAUCCCUAAAAGCCAUCUCAGUUCGGAUUGCAGGCUGCAACUCGCCUGCAUGAAGCUGGAAUUGCUAGUAAUCGCGGAUCAGCAAGCCGCGGUGAAUACGUUCCCGGGCCUUGUACACACCGCCCGUCACACCAUGAGAGUCGGGAACACCCGAAGUCCGUAGUCUAACCGCAAGGGGGGCGCGGCCGAAGGUGGGUCCGGUAAUUGGGGUGAAGUCGUAACAAGGUACC